rnacentral:rRNA from 1 species
GGCUCAGGACGAACGCUGGCGGCGUGCCUAAUACAUGCAAGUCGUACGCUUCUUUUUCCACCGGAGCUUGCUCCACCGGAAAAAGAGGAGUGGCGAACGGGUGAGUAACACGUGGGUAACCUGCCCAUCAGAAGGGGAUAACACUUGGAAACAGGUGCUAAUACCGUAUAACAAUCGAAACCGCAUGGUUUUGAUUUGAAAGGCGCUUUCGGGUGUCGCUGAUGGAUGGACCCGCGGUGCAUUAGCUAGUUGGUGAGGUAACGGCUCACCAAGGCCACGAUGCAUAGCCGACCUGAGAGGGUGAUCGGCCACAUUGGGACUGAGACACGGCCCAAACUCCUACGGGAGGCAGCAGUAGGGAAUCUUCGGCAAUGGACGAAAGUCUGACCGAGCAACGCCGCGUGAGUGAAGAAGGUUUUCGGAUCGUAAAACUCUGUUGUUAGAGAAGAACAAGGAUGAGAGUAACUGUUCAUCCCUUGACGGUAUCUAACCAGAAAGCCACGGCUAACUACGUGCCAGCAGCCGCGGUAAUACGUAGGUGGCAAGCGUUGUCCGGAUUUAUUGGGCGUAAAGCGAGCGCAGGCGGUUUCUUAAGUCUGAUGUGAAAGCCCCCGGCUCAACCGGGGAGGGUCAUUGGAAACUGGGAGACUUGAGUGCAGAAGAGGAGAGUGGAAUUCCAUGUGUAGCGGUGAAAUGCGUAGAUAUAUGGAGGAACACCAGUGGCGAAGGCGGCUCUCUGGUCUGUAACUGACGCUGAGGCUCGAAAGCGUGGGGAGCAAACAGGAUUAGAUACCCUGGUAGUCCACGCCGUAAACGAUGAGUGCUAAGUGUUGGAGGGUUUCCGCCCUUCAGUGCUGCAGCUAACGCAUUAAGCACUCCGCCUGGGGAGUACGACCGCAAGGUUGAAACUCAAAGGAAUUGACGGGGGCCCGCACAAGCGGUGGAGCAUGUGGUUUAAUUCGAAGCAACGCGAAGAACCUUACCAGGUCUUGACAUCCUUUGACCACUCUAGAGAUAGAGCUUCCCCUUCGGGGGCAAAGUGACAGGUGGUGCAUGGUUGUCGUCAGCUCGUGUCGUGAGAUGUUGGGUUAAGUCCCGCAACGAGCGCAACCCUUAUUGUUAGUUGCCAUCAUUCAGUUGGGCACUCUAGCAAGACUGCCGGUGACAAA